rnacentral:rRNA from 1 species
GAUGAACGCUGGCGGCGUGCCUAAUACAUGCAAGUCGAGCGAACAGACGAGGAGCUUGCUUCUCUGAUGUUAGCGGCGGACGGGUGAGUAACACGUGGAUAACCUACCUAUAAGACUGGGAUAACUUCGGGAAACCGGAGCUAAUACCGGAUAAUAUAUUGAACCGCAUGGUUCAAUAGUGAAAGACGGUCUUGCUGUCACUUAUAGAUGGAUCCGCGCCGCAUUAGCUAGUUGGUAAGGUAACGGCUUACCAAGGCGACGAUGCGUAGCCGACCUGAGAGGGUGAUCGGCCACACUGGAACUGAGACACGGUCCAGACUCCUACGGGAGGCAGCAGUAGGGAAUCUUCCGCAAAGGGCGAAAGCCUGACGGAGCAACGCCGCGUGAGUGAUGAAGGUCUUCGGAUCGUAAAACUCUGUUAUUAGGGAAGAACAAAUGUGUAAGUAACUAUGCACGUCUUGACGGUACCUAAUCAGAAAGCCACGGCUAACUACGUG